CUUAUAACAGCCCCACCCAACUUUUCCCUUCUCUAUAAAAGAGUUCCUUCUCCUUUACUUAACAGGUCUUGCAAGUGGUUCACUGUAGUUGCAUGUCUUGAGCUGCAAUUCUUUGCUGCUCCCAAAUAAACCCACUCUGCUGGUAAAAUAGCUGGCAGUUUCAUUGUUUUAGGUUGAUAUUACACAGAGGUUCCAUUAAGAUGUAGAGAAGAUCGCCCCCCACCUCCCACCCCAGCUGGACAACUCUGAGGCUGGUGAGCAAACAUCCUGGUACCCACAGAGCCCACUGAGUUCACUGCUCUCUCGCUGAUCCUGGAGUUUUAGGGCUCCAGCCCUAGUGCCAUCCUACUCCUCUGGGCCGAUCAGAACCUGACCCUUCAAAGUCCUGGAGCUGAUUCUUGAAACACUGAUUAUUUGUCCCUAUUGAAUCAGUUAUCACACUCCUCAGUUGACAAAAAUUUCCAACUGGUAUUGGUGAAAUCCACAGUGCACCUUCCAUCAAGUUUCAAAUAGAUCGCUCCAAACCUCUCCCAAGAAUUAAUCGAUUUCCUCUCAACCCACUCCAGUAUUCUUGCCUGGGAAAUCGCAUGGACAGAGGAAUCUGGCAGGCUACAGUCAAUGGGGCCAUAAAGAGUUGUACAUGACUUAGUGACUAAACAACAACAACAGUAAGUAAUGAAGUUCCUUCAAUGUAUAAAGCCCAUGAAAGAAGAUCUCAAGGCCCAUGGCUUCAUUAUCCCUUGCACUAACUGUGGUGUUGGAGAAGACUCUUGAGAGUCCCUUGGACUGCAAGGAGAUCCAACCAGUCUAUCCUAAAGGAGAUCAAUCCUGGGUAUUCAAUGGAAGGACUGAUGUUGAAGCUGAA